UUAGUCAAUGCUCGCAAGAGUGAACUAGCUAACUGAAAUCAUAUGACUCAUUAAUUGAUGGUGAUUAUGAUAACAUAAGGGAAAAAAAUGAUAUUACCUUAUUAUUAGUGUUGUCCAAAACUGGUGCCAGAAGACUCGGUAAGACCAGAGACGCAAACGUUAGUCAUCUUAAUCAGGCGUAAAGGGUUUGUAGGCUGCUUUAAAAGUUUAAAUUAUUUAAAAAGCUCUUUUACCGUAAUACUACCUUUAUUUAUAAUUAAAAUAUAAAAUACAAAAGGUAGUAUAUAAAAUUUAUAAUAAAAUAAAAAUAAAUGAUAUUAAAAAAAUAUCCGUGUAUUAGUAAAGAAAUAAAUGAAUUAAAGCUAGGAUCAAAUUGAGGAUAAACCAAAUAAUACUUAGAGUAGGGCUUAUAUCCGCAGAUACUAAGGGGAAUACUAAAGGUGAAAACUUUUUAUCUACUAUUGAUUGACGCUGAGAAACGAAGGUGAGAACAGGAAAUAGGAUUAGAUACCCAGAUACCUCUCACUGUCAACGAUGAAUGGUGGUUUGUUAGUUUUAAUAAAAACUGGUAAUGAUGUUAACACGAUAACCAUUCCGCCUUGCGAGUACGGUU
rnacentral:rRNA from 1 species